rnacentral:rRNA from 1 species
CGGGAAGGGUGCGGCGCAGUCAGUUUGUGGCCGGGAGAAAGAGGGUUAGGGGCGUUGGCGGCGCGGGCCGUGUGGAGGGAGGAGGUGAGGAGGGGCGUAGAGUGGGAAGGGGCGACUCGAACAAGGAGAUCGGUGGGUGAGCAGAGGAGGAGGAGGAGGAUAGAGAGAGAAGAUCGAAGGAGGAGGAAGGACUAGAGACGCAGCCAGCCUGGCGCUCUCCUCGCCGCCACCACCUCUGCGAGGCCACCGCCGUAGCUCAACGCUUGGGGUUCUUGGUCCAGACCCCCAAGCCAAGGUUCCGCGCCUGCCGAAGAGGUAGAUACUGCGGCUCCCUUUCACGUGUGGGGUGAGGGGAGGAGGACACGCUUGGGAUGCUCUCUCUCUCCUUCUACUCUCCCUCCCUCUCUCUUACUGGCCGCAGCCGGACGCGGCCGCUCCUGCCCGCGCUGGACCUCCAACCGGCGACGAGCUAGACGAGAACCUACCCCUUGAAGUUGCUUCGACCCCAAGCCCGUGCAACGUGGCCUCCGGCGUGAGGUGGAGAAGGAGCACCACGCCGCCUGCCGUCGAGAACGUCAGCACGCCGGCUGCCGCCGGAGUCGCCCACCAGCUGCUGUGAACGUAGACCACGAGAUGGGUACCUAAGGCCGGGUCGGGCUUUAUGAGUCCUGUUUAAUCCGGAGCCGGUUACCACCUCUUCUGUCUGAUGUCCCUGUUCGGCGACCUCGUGCACAAGUACCCUACAAGCGCGCGUUCUACGUCUUCAAGCGGACUUCCUUCUUCUCAACCGGCCGCUCCUACUUCUCUUCCGCCCUACGCUCCACGAACGUGUGCGUCGUCGUCCUCCGGCAGGCAUUCCACGAGGAGACCUACGAGGGAAGGCCGUAACCCGGAUCCACAAGUUGUGGCGGGAGUGGUAGGGGAAGAAGGUAACCGAGUAGCCGGGUAGUCUCCGACAGUUACGACUCUUCGCUUGAACCUUUAGUCGAGCGAUUGUUCUCAGCCUUAAACUUAGACUCCGUUCAAAAUGUAAGGGGUUAAACAGAUAACUUGGGUACCAGAGAGAAAGAAGACGUAAUAAAGAGUAAGUAAUAGAUUCUAUAUUAAAGCUGAAGUGACGUAGCACAACAAACCAAAUAUUACGGCCAACUCGAGUAAAGAUUAACAAGUGUUGAUGAAUUAAAAAACAACACUAAAACGUUCUAUAAAUUUAAUAACAUAAAUCUUUAACAAUAUGACUAAGAGCUACGAGACAAGUACCGAAAAAAGAAUAAAAUAAGAAGAAACGAAAAAAGGAAAGGACGUUCUGCUACAGCUCAGUACAUUAUACAAGUUUCUUCUCUCUUAGACGUAAAAUACUUAGGAAAGAAGAAAGAAGUAACAAUGAAGUUCAAUCACUUAAGUAAAUUCAACAUAACUCGUCGAAGUACACGUACCAAAGAAGUAGAUGUGUAGAAUAAGUCAGUGCUCCGGUCAUUCUAGAAAACGGAAGAUCUUUUUCCCUCUACGUUAAAUCUGGAAUGAGAAGGUUGAACUAGAAAUUGAACGAUGAUGACAAAGAUUCGUAAAAGGGUUCGUAAAAAAUAAACGAAGUCUCUUACUUGAGUGGAAUAAGUCACCUACACGGUUCAUUUUUUUUUAUCUUUGACUUGUUAAUCAAGGUGAGAAUUUAAAACAUGUUGCCAGGUUUAAUAGGUUAUUUAGUAAACAAUCGUCCCAGAUUAAUAUCUUCAACUUAGUCAACAAGGUUUAAUGUUACACACUGAAUAAGGUAAACAAAUAGGAAAACAGGAAAAUUAGUUCUUGUUACAAAUCUCGAAUGUACCAACAGGUUUAAAUCAAGACAUUUUCUCCUUAUAAUUAUAGUACGUUGCUACUCACGUCUAAUCCUAUCAAUAUCUCAAGAAGGAGUCAAAAGUAACUCGUUUCUAACUUAGACAUACCAAAAAAGAUUAUGGUUCAUUUAGAACCAGACGUAAGACAAUCAAAAGGAUGACUCAAAAAAAACCGAUAAAAGCAAAUUUAACCAUCGACUACACUUUUUCACACACAACUGUACGUACGUUGGUUUAGUACAUAAUUACACUCCAUGAUGUAUAUGAACGGAUAGAGAAAGGUCUUCGUGUUGGGAGAACUAGGUUGAUCCUUGUAGUUUUGGUUUACCCUUUAGUAACUCACCUGAAGUCUACCGGUACGACACUCAUGUGGUAAUCAUAGACUUAGAUGAAACAUAUUAAUUCUGUGUGAAAGAUGUAUAGCGACGAUAUAACUAUGGUACACUAGUGAAUUGUACUCACACUGAUCGGAUAAAAGAAAGGAUUGACACACUAACGUACAUCAUUACGUACCGAAGAGAUAAAUUUACUUCUCAACACAAAUAGUAUUAUUAAUAUAUGGUAUCUGAACAAAGAAAGACAAAUACAUUAUUACGUCAAAAAGAAGAUGGUAUACAAAAGAAACAAUGUACAGAAGAUUAACAAGUAGAAAAAAAGAGAAAGCUGCUGUUUUAUUGUAGCGUAAACCACAUUGUUUUAUUGAAAAAAGAGAAACAAUGUACAGAAGAUUAUAAAUCAUGCUGUUCCUCCGCCCCAACCCCCUCCCCCAGCCAGCACCUCCCUCCGAGCGGACGGCCUCGUCGUCCUUGUUCCUCCGCCCCAGCCGGCACCUUAUAAAUCGACCUACACGCUAGAGAAGACGGCGAUGCAGAGGCAAGCUGAGCGGUUCCAAACAACAAGAGGAAAAAUGUACACACACACAAAAUGAAAGUGAUAGAAGAUAUAGUACGAUAGACGGAAGUACUAGCAAAUUCAUAAUAAUACCACAGACGGUACGACUAGCAAAUUUAUAAAGCCUAUGCCGUCCCGUAACACACAACAAGCAAGAGAACGAUGAAUAUCAAGCACAUACGCACACUCGUCCUAGAUACGUGAACAAAGGCAACAAUAUGAACAAAACCUCUGAUUCCAUCGAGCCACACGAAACAGCAGCGAAAGCACAGACACACUCCAACAUCUGCUGCCAAGACAAGAACGACCACAUCUUGAGCUCGAGGGUCCCCUGCCAAGAUGAGGUCACGGUGUUUCUCUACAAAAGGCUCGAACCGAACCACACCAAAAUACUUACCGAUACUCGUCCUACGAGAUGUCCAGAACGCAUAAAACGUUCCAAAUAUACCUGAAAAGCAAGUACUGUUAUUGAUACUUACAUACUACCGGAUAUCCUCUAGAAAGACAAGUUCUUGUAACGCCAAAGAAACUAAGGAUGAUACGAUAAAUGAUUCAGACGUCCGGUCGUAUAAUAAAUCUAAGAAAGAUUGAUGGAAUGAAGCUUCGAGUCAUGACCAGAGGAAGUUCGAUGUUGGGGUUCCGCUCGAGACCACCAGUUCGACUACGAAGAAGCGGAGGACAACUUCUUUUCCUACUAUUCCUACAGGUCCGAGCUCACUGGUCCUUGUUCACCACGACGAAAAAUACGACAGGUAGAUAUAUACGUAGGGAAGUCAAACAUGUCUGUUUUGUUUAUAAGUAAAGACUGAUCUUGUCUUGAACGUCAAUUCUUUGAGAUGACGACCUUACCCUCGACCCCAUGAUUUGUAUUAUAUCAAACUCGGACGGUCAAGAAAAAUUAGGAUACCGGACAUAAAAACAUCGUUAGCAGAAAAUACAGACCAAGGGUUUCAAUAAUCAAUCGGACGGAUAAAGAGCGGCAAACUAUUGGAUAUAAUAUUGAUAUCUCUUAUAUCAAACUCGGACGGUCAAGAAGACGGAACCUAUACUUUAUUACUCCGUCAAAAUUAUAACAGCAUCUAAGUGGACUCAAAUAAAAUUUGAUGUCCUACGUAGUGACUACCUCUUUAUGGAAUGUCUUACUACGACUCGGGGCAGACCUUACCUUGGAAAAACCUCGACGAAUACGAACCACGCCUCGCCCUUCGGAUACUAUCGUUGUCAUAACAUGAGGUAUCUUGACCUUGAGAUAUGGAAAGAAUACGUCGAGAAGGAAAACAACAGAAGGGAUCUUCCCCGACUACAUCAAAAAGACUUAAUGUACAGAGGCGAAACAAGAUGCCGUCUACGAAGAUGAAACCUUACCAUCGUUGUUAUGACCUGAGGUGACUCUUGACCUUGAGAUAUGGAAAGAAAACAUCGAGAACGAAAGCAUCAGUAACGACCUUCCACGUCUACAUCAAAAGGUAAACAAGAUGCUGUCUACGAAGAUGUGACCUUACCUUGGAAAAACCUCUAGUUGUACAAAGACUGAACAACAUGUUAUAGAGCUACCAUCAUGAACUAAAUAACAAAAUCGUUCGCAUUACCGACUACGAAUUUUAUUUGUUGUCAUAUAAAAAACGAACUCUCACGUAUGUAUACCGUAACGAAACAAUGUUCUAAUGCUGUGAAAAAGGUCAUUUAGACUACCAAGUAGAGUU